CAUAUUGAUCCGUGUUAGGUGGGGGCGUCCAUCUACUGCUUUCGCCUAACCACGUUAUUCUUCCUUCAUGCAAUUACUAUUUUCUAUACAACAACUUUUGCCUAUAACAUUCACACACCAAAAUUUAAGGAAUUGUAUUUAAACUCCAACAGUAAUAAUAACUAUCUAACAACUUAGAAGAUUAAUAUCUAUACUUCUCUACAAACACAUUCCUCC
rnacentral:lncRNA from 1 species